rnacentral:lncRNA from 1 species
CCAAUUGAUAGCUAAUACUUUGUGAGGAGUAAGGAAGGGAAGAUCUUGGCUACUAUUACGACUAUUAUUCAUAUCAACAAUGACUUUUGCAGGUAUGAAUUCGUUUUAUUAAUUUAAUUUUGGUGAUUCUUGAUUUUUAGCAUGAUUAAAUUAAAAUUCAACAAUUGGUAUCAGAGCCACUAUGCUAAGAUCAGCAUCCAUCAUUAAAAAAAUAUUCUUCCUCUGACUAAAUAAUUCUAAGGUUUCUGCUACCCAUCAAUUCAGGUAUUUGGAAUUGUUAUGUAUUUAAGUUUUGAAAUAAA